AGUGACUUUAGCUACCUCCAGAGCCGCUGCCUCCAGCUGGCUGAACUGCUCGUACUCAUCAUCCAUAUUGUCACACAGCAGCACCAGGCGGUAUGGUGUGAAUUACUGCCCAGUCUAUGAUUUGUCCUUUUCAUGGUUGUCAAAGCACUUAAGAAAGCUUUGACCCCCGCCUCCUUUCCACGACCUCCAGCUGCCUCUCGUCAACUGGAUCCCGUGCUGACAUCUGACCAGUAGUAGCACAGCCAACAGCAGAAAGAUGAGGAUUCCCACCAGGAGGCUGAUGGCGAUGAUCCAGCCGACGACGUAACCCCUCGGC